rnacentral:rRNA from 1 species
AUUGAACGCUGGCGGCAUGCUUUACACAUGCAAGUCGAACGAGUGGCGGACGGGUGAGUAAUGUCUGGGAAACUGCCCGAUGGAGGGGGAUAACUACUGGAAACGGUAGCUAAUACCGCAUACUAUCGGAUGUGCCCAGAUGGGAUUAGCUAGUAGGUGGGGUAACGGCUCACCUAGGCGACGAUCCCUAGCUGGUCUGAUAGGAUGACCAGUCACACGGGAACUGAGACACGGUCCAGACUCCUACGGGAGGCAGCAGUGGGGAAUUUUGCACAAUGGGGGCAAACCUGAUGCAGCCAUGCCGCGUGUAUGAUGAAGGCAUUCGGGUUGUAAAGUACUUUCAGCGAGGAAGCGUUACUCGCAGAAGAAGCACCGGCUAACUCCGUGCCAGCAGCCGCGGUAAUUC